UGUUAAUCUGGAGCCUGAGCCAAGACACUCGUGGAUAGCUCCUGCCAGGUGGUUGGCCUACCACAUGCUAAGCACACAGACAAGAAAGAAAGACUUUUUACAGUUUUGUCUGCUGACAGCUAUGGUGCCCAUCCUAGGCCUGCUCCUGGCUGACUGAAAUCCAUGAGACUUUUGGAGUAAGGCUGGGGCCUCUCUAGCUCCAAAAGAAGAUUUUAUUGCACACUUUGCAUCACUCCUUGUGAAAAUUUCUUGUGGAAGAAUGAAGAAUGUGUUACUAGAGUUGUUGAAACAACUCUCACAGGAAGUGAAAGCAAACUGGCC